AUACGGAGGAUCCGAGCGUUAUCCGGAUUUAUCGGGUUUAAAGGGUGCGCAGGCGGGAGAUUAAGUCGGCGGUGAAAUUUUGCAGCUCAACUGUAAAAGUGCCUUCGAAACUGGUUUCCUUGAGUGUAGAUGAAGGAGGCGGAAUUUGUGGUGUAGCGGUGAAAUGCAUAGAUAUCACGAGGAACUCCGAUUGCGCAGGCAGCUUACUAAACUACUACUGACGCUCAGGCACGAAGGCGUGGGGAUCAAACAGGAUUAGAUACCCUGGUAGUCCACGCAGUAAACGAUGAUUACUAGCUGUUUGCGAUACAAUGUAAGCGGCUGAGCGAAAGCGUUAAGUAAUCCACCUGGGGAGUACGUUCGCAAGAAUGAAACUCAAAUGAAUUGACGGGG
rnacentral:rRNA from 1 species